rnacentral:rRNA from 1 species
CCUACGGGAGGCAGCAGUGAGGAAUAUUGGUCAAUGGCCGGGAGGCUGAACCAGCCAAGUCGCGUGAGGGAAGACGGCCCUACGGGUUGUAAACCUCUUUUGUCAGGGAGCAAGGUGCAGGUCGGGACCUGUUGUGUGAGUACCUGAUGAAUAAGCAUCGGCUAAUUCCGUGCCAGCAGCCGCGGUAAUACGGAGGAUGCGAGCGUUAUCCGGAUUUAUUGGGUUUAAAGGGUGCGAGGGCGGAGGCAAAAGUCGGCGGGAAAAUCCCGGGGCUCAACCCGGCCCGGCCGUUGGAACUGGGUCCCUUGAGUGCGCGGAGGGUAGGCGGAAUGCGUGGUGUAGCGGUGAAAUGCAUAGAUAUCACGCAGAACUCCGAUCGCGAAGGCAGCCUACCGGCGCGCAACUGACGCUGAUGCACGAAGGCGUGGGUAUCGAACAGGAUUAGAUACCCCGGUAGUC